CCUGGCUCAGGAUGAACGCUAGCUACAGGCUUAACACAUGCAAGUCGAGGGGCAGCAUGGUCUUAGCUUGCUAAGGCCGAUGGCGACCGGCGCACGGGUGAGUAACACGUAUCCAACCUGCCGUCUACUCUUGGACAGCCUUCUGAAAGGAAGAUUAAUACAAGAUGGCAUCAUGAGUCCGCAUGUUCACAUGAUUAAAGGUAUUCCGGUAGACGAUGGGGAUGCGUUCCAUUAGAUAGUAGGCGGGGUAACGGCCCACCUAGUCUUCGAUGGAUAGGGGUUCUGAGAGGAAGGUCCCCCACAUUGGAACUGAGACACGGUCCAAACUCCUACGGGAGGCAGCAGUGAGGAAUAUUGGUCAAUGGGCGAGAGCCUGAACCAGCCAAGUAGCGUGAAGGAUGACUGCCCUAUGGGUUGUAAACUUCUUUUAUAAAGGAAUAAAGUCGGGUAUGGAUACCCGUUUGCAUGUACUUUAUGAAUAAGGAUCGGCUAACUCCGUGCCAGCAGCCGCGGUAAUACGGAGGAUCCGAGCGUUAUCCGGAUUUAUUGGGUUUAAAGGGAGCGUAGAUGGAUGUUUAAGUCAGUUGUGAAAGUUUGCGGCUCAACCGUAAAAUUGCAGUUGAUACUGGAUAUCUUGAGUGCAGUUGAGGCAGGCGGAAUUCGUGGUGUAGCGGUGAAAUGCUUAGAUAUCACGAAGAACUCCGAUUGCGAAGGCAGCCUGCUAAGCUGCAACUGACAUUGAGGCUCGAAAGUGUGGGUAUCAAACAGGAUUAGAUACCCUGGUAGUCCACACGGUAAACGAUGAAUACUCGCUGUUUGCGAUAUACAGCAAGCGGCCAAGCGAAAGCGUUAAGUAUUCCACCUGGGGAGUACGCCGGCAACGGUGAAACUCAAAGGAAUUGACGGGGGCCCGCACAAGCGGAGGAACAUGUGGUUUAAUUCGAUGAUACGCGAGGAACCUUACCCGGGCUUAAAUUGCAGAUGAAUUACGGUGAAAGCCGUAAGCCGCAAGGCAUCUGUGAAGGUGCUGCAUGGUUGUCGUCAGCUCGUGCCGUGAGGUGUCGGCUUAAGUGCCAUAACGAGCGCAACCCUUGUUGUCAGUUACUAACAGGUUCCGCUGAGGACUCUGACAAGACUGCCAUCGUAAGAUGUGAGGAAGGUGGGGAUGACGUCAAAUCAGCACGGCCCUUACGUCCGGGGCUACACACGUGUUACAAUGGGGGGUACAGAGGGCCGCUACCACGCGAGUGGAUGCCAAUCCCCAAAACCUCUCUCAGUUCGGACUGGAGUCUGCAACCCGACUCCACGAAGCUGGAUUCGCUAGUAAUCGCGCAUCAGCCACGGCGCGGUGAAUACGUUCCCGGGCCUUGUACACAC
rnacentral:rRNA from 1 species